rnacentral:miRNA from 1 species
GACGGGAGGGGGCGGGAGGGGCCGGGACGGGGAGGGCGAGGGAAGAGGCGCGGGGCCGAGGGCCUGCCGAGAC